CUAAAAUGCACAGGUCGUGAGUUCGAUGAGUAGGGCGGGACACGUGACAUCCUGUCUGAAUAUGGGGGGACCAUCCUCCAAGGCUAAAUACUCCUGACUGACCGAUAGUGAACCAGUACCGUGAGGGAAAGGCGAAAAGAACCCCGGCGAGGGGAGUGAAAUAGAACCUGAAACCGUGUACGUACAAGCAGUGGGAGCACCUUCGUGGUGUGACUGCGUACCUUUUGUAUAAUGGGUCAGCGACUUAUAUUUUGUAGCAAGGUUAACCGUAUAGGGGAGCCGUAGGGAAACCGAGUCUUAACUGGGCGAAUAGUUGCAAGGUAUAGACCCGAAACCCGGUGAUCUAGCCAUGGGCAGGUUGAAGGUUGGGUAACACUAACUGGAGGACCGAACCGACUAAUGUUGAAAAAUUAGCGGAUGACUUGUGGCUGGGGGUGAAAGGCCAAUCAAACCGGGAGAUAGCUGGUUCUCCCCGAAAGCUAUUUAGGUAGCGCCUCGUGAACUCAUCUUCGGGGGUAGAGCACUGUUUCGGCUAGGGGGCCAUCCCGGCUUACCAAACCGAUGCAAACUCCGAAUACCGAAGAAUGUUAUCACGGGAGACACACGGCGGGUGCUAACGUCCGUCGUGAAGAGGGAAACAACCCAGACCGCCAGCUAAGGUCCCAAAGUCAUGGUUAAGUGGGAAACGAUGUGGGAAGGCAUAGACAGCCAGGAUGUUGGCUUAGAAGCAGCCAUCAUUUAAAGAAAGCGUAAUAGCUCACUGGUCGAGUCGGCCUGCGCGGAAGAUGUAACGGGGCUAAACCAUGCACCGAAGCUGCGGCAGCGACGCUUAGGCGUUGUUGGGUAGGGGAGCGUUCUGUAAGCCGUUGAAGGUGGCCUGUGAGGGUUGCUGGAGGUAUCAGAAGUGCGAAUGCUGACAUAAGUAACGAUAAAGCGGGUGAAAAGCCCGCUCGCCGGAAGACCAAGGGUUCCUGUCCAACGUUAAUCGGGGCAGGGUGAGUCGACCCCUAAGGCGAGGCUGAAAAGCGUAGUCGAUGGGAAACAGGUUAAUAUUCCUGUACUUGGUGUUACUGCGAAGGGGGGACGGAGAAGGCUAGGCUAGCCGGGCGACGGUUGUCCCGGUUUAAGCGUGUAGGGGGUGUGACCUGGUAAAUCCGGUUGCAUAUCAACCCUGAGGCGUGAUGACGAUGCACUACGGUGCAGAAGUAGUUGAUGCCCUGCUUCCAGGAAAAGCCUCUAAGCUCUAGGUAACAUUAAAUCGUACCCCAAACCGACACAGGUGGUCAGGUAGAGAAUACCAAGGCGCUUGAGAGAACUCGGGUGAAGGAACUAGGCAAAAUGGUGCCGUAACUUCGGGAGAAGGCACGCUGGCAUGUAGGUGAAGUCCCUUGCGGAUGGAGCUGAAGCCAGUCGAAGAUACCAGCUGGCUGCAACUGUUUAAUAAAAACACAGCACUGUGCAAACACGAAAGUGGACGUAUACGGUGUGACGCCUGCCCGGUGCUGGAAGGUUAAUUGAUGGGGUCAGCCGCAAGGCGAAGCUCUUGAUCGAAGCCCCAGUAAACGGCGGCCGUAACUAUAACGGUCCUAAGGUAGCGAAAUUCCUUGUCGGGUAAGUUCCGACCUGCACGAAUGGCGUAAUGAUGGCCAGGCUGUCUCCACCCGAGACUCAGUGAAAUUGAACUCGCUGUGAAGAUGCAGUGUACCCGCGGCAAGACGGAAAGACCCCGUGAACCUUUACUAUAGCUUGACACUGAACAUUGAGCCUUGAUGUGUAGGAUAGGUGGGAGGCUUUGAAGCGUGGACGCCAGUCUGCGUGGAGCCAUCCUUGAAAUACCACCCUUUAAUGUUUGAUGUUCUAACUCGGCCCCAUAAUCUGGGGUGAGGACAGUGUCUGGUGGGUAGUUUGACUGGGGCGGUCUCCUCCCAAAGAGUAACGGAGGAGCACGAAGGUUAGCUAAUCACGGUCGGACAUCGUGAGGUUAGUGCAAAGGCAUAAGCUAGCUUGACUGCGAGAGUGACGGCUCGAGCAGGUACGAAAGUAGGUCUUAGUGAUCCGGUGGUUCUGAAUGGAAGGGCCAUCGCUCAACGGAUAAAAGGUACUCCGGGGAUAACAGGCUGAUACCGCCCAAGAGUUCAUAUCGACGGCGGUGUUUGGCACCUCGAUGUCGGCUCAUCACAUCCUGGGGCUGAAGUAGGUCCCAAGGGUAUGGCUGUUCGCCAUUUAAAGUGGUACGCGAGCUGGGUUUAGAACGUCGUGAGACAGUUCGGUCCCUAUCUGCCGUGGGCGUUGGAAGAUUGAGAGGGGUUGCUCCUAGUACGAGAGGACCGGAGUGAACGCACCACUGGUGUUCGGGUUGUCAUGCCAAUGGCAUUGCCCGGUAGCUAAGUGCGGAAAAGAUAAGCGCUGAAAGCAUCUAAGCGCGAAACUUGCCUCAAGAUGAGUCUUCCCUGGGCCUUUAAGGUCCCUGAAGGAACGUUUAAGACUAAGACGUUGAUAGGCUGGGUGUGUAAGUGCAGCGAUGCAUUGAGCUAACCAGUACUAAUGAUCCGUGAGGCUUAACCUUACAACACCGAAGGUGUUU
rnacentral:rRNA from 1 species